GUAGAUAUAGUUUAACAAAAACAUUAGACUGUGAAUCUAAAAAUAGAAACUAACAACUCUUAUCUACC
rnacentral:tRNA from 1 species